rnacentral:piRNA from 1 species
UCACAUGAUCGCAUUCAUACACACAAUGUA